rnacentral:lncRNA from 1 species
AUGAUAAGUGUUAUGAAUAAGAUAUUAGUUUAUGCAUUAUUUAGCACUUAUCACACCCCCAAACCUACAUUUUGCUAGUCCUCGAGCAAAAUAAAAACUAACUCACUUUCGCAGGAAUCGCGAUUGCAUUUACCGUAUGCAAUAAGGCUUUAAACCCCUAGGUGGCCCUAGUGGACGAGUUUUGUCUCGUGAGGGUUUCCGGCUCAGAUACCCACAAACUGUUGUCUCUACCCAAAGAAUUUAUUUUAUUGUUUUAUAAAAUCUAAUUUCAAAUGCAUAAGUGCCAAUAAUUUCAAAAGCACACAAAGUUUUAAUUACUAAGUCUGCCCAAAGGUGAUAGUCAACUUUAAAGACCACGCAAUAGCACGUAUCUAGUAGAAUAGUGAUUACGGGUAUCGAUCCACAGGGAUUGGAGUACAGUUAUUUUUCUUAAAAAUAAAAAUAUUUAAAAGGAAGAGUUUGUGAAGAAAAUUAAACUAAGAAAUUUAAUAAAAAAUGCAAUUAAAAUGUUAUCAGUUUGAGGAAACCUAGGGCAAGGAAUUCACCACUAACAUCGGAACAAGGAUUAAUUGUAUUUCAAUUAAUUCUUGGAUUAACAUGCAAAUUGGCUACAAGCCUAAUAAGCAUUUAAAUAGAAAUUCACAAAAGUAAUUUGAAAAUAAUUCAUCUUCAGUUGGCAUGAAAUGUCUACCCUAAACUAAUGUGGCAGGACACCGCAUCUUUCCUAAGCAUGGACUAUCUUAUAUUUACUUAGUGAUCAUGAAGAACAGUUGUAUAAACGUCAUACUUAAAAUCACAAAAAUUAAAUAUGAGAUGAAAUAAAAUAUUCAUUAGGAGCAAAAUAAAGUUUAUACAACUUCAGGAAUAGGAAAUUAAAAUAUAAAACCCUUGGCUCUUUGUUAGGGCUGCAUCCGGCCCUAGCGAGGAGAUCAGCCUUCCAUGAAGUUGUGGAUGACGGCCGUGAAGAAGGAUGAAGACGGCAUGGUUGGUGUCUUCAGUCGAAGAAGGAAGCGUGAUGAGGCGAUGGUAGAAGAAGCUCUGUUUCCCCCUCCCCGCCUUCGUUCCAUUUCAUUUUUUUCUUUCCAUGGGAAGUCUUCCCAUAAUAGCCAAACUUUUCUCUCCCUCUAGUCUUCUAUGGGAUUUGGCCUGUGAACAGAUGAUUCAGCUCCCGAGCUUUUUUUUCCGAAGAGGAGAAAUCUCCUCCUUUUAUAGCAUCUGUCGACCCCUGUUAUCUCGCCACGUCGUGGGAAGAUAAGGGCCAAAGAAGAUUUGAUCCGGCAUUGGGAAGAUAGACUGGAAACGGAUCUCGUUGAAGAAGUCGGCUGGGAGCGCAUGGGAUGAAUGGAAGAAAUCGUUGCUUCUUCAACGCAUGGAAGAAGAUCUUGGACACGGUUGGAACGCGGAGCAGAGGGAUUGAUCUUUAUCCGUGGAUGCUGGAAGUUGGACGUGGAAGAAUCAACGUGGAGGAGGACGUGGAGAGGAUCUCAUGCGAACGGGCGGACGUGGGUGGAUUUCAUUUGAUCCGAUUGGUAGGUGCAGGGGAUGAGAGUUGGUUCCCAAACAGGGGAUAAGCUAGCGGAAGAAGAUGAAGAUGCUGGGAUUUGAGCUUUGGGAUCGAUCCGAAAGAGGAGGACGCGGAGGAGAUCAAAAUGUUGAGAGGAUCUCGGCUGGGGGGAGAUCUUUGGAAUGCAGACGAUGCUGGGAACAGAGGAGCUGUUCGAGUUGUUGGGAAAUAUUGGAUUCGGCUGGGAUUGAUUUGGAACAGAGGAAUCCGUGAAGCUCGGUGAUAUCUUGGGAGGAUAAGCUCGGAAGAUGGGAUUUGAGUUUAUCCCGUGAAGAUGGAAGGUUAUCACGAACGGACGUGAAUAUGGCUUACGGGAUGAAGAUGAAUUGGAGGAGAUGCGGCUGGAAGUUGAACAGAGGAUUUGAAAUGGGAUACGGGAGCUGGGAAUUUGAACAAGAUGGGUUUCGAAUGGGAGGAUUCCUUCGGCUGGGAACAUGUGAUGAUUACGAAUGGAUUGAGCGUAAAACAGGGGAGAGAAGUUGGGAUUAACAGCUGGGAACAAACACGGACGGCCGAACAUGGGAUGCUAUGCAUUUGGUUGCCGGGAAAGAUCCGCGGAGCAAAGCAUAGAAGACUCGGCUCCGGGAUGCAGGGGAUUCUAAUCCGUGGGCGGAUGGAGCUGGAUCCUACGCGAACAGUGGAGUGAUGCUGUUGAAGCUUGGAAUGGCUUGCGGAUGAGGUUGAUCCGGAACGGGGGAAGAGAAUGAAUGAUUCUGAACGGGAUGAAGGGAAGAUCACGGUUGAAGGAAAUCUUUGGAUUUAGUUGUUUGGGAUGCUGGGAGGAUGAUGCUGGAUGUGAAGAAGACGCGUACGGGGCUUUGUUUGGUAUAGAAACGUGGGAAGGAUGAUUUGCUUGGCAUGCAUAGCGGGAGAAACGAGUGUGUUAAAUUGGUUAACAAAUGGGAGGAAUUGGAUGAAAUCCUGAGGUUCGGACGGCUAGGAAUGGGUUCUGUUUUGAGGCUGGGGUGAAUCACGUAAAAGAUGGGAUGACAUGGAACAGGGAACUGAUUGGGAUGAGGGGAAGUUGAGGGAGACGUUGAGUUGUUGAGCUCAAUGUUGGGAAAGAAAUAAGAGAAUUGGACUGAAUCGAGAUAUGAGAGGAUUUGCUUCAUGGGGUGCCUGCGAUUUAGGUUCAGGAAUCAUCCCAAAUAAGUUCGACUUGACCUGCACACAUUAAACUUGACCAGUAAAUAAAUAAGUAGAACACGAAUUACCUUUAAUUUAUUAAAAUGCAAUGAUGAAGGUAACACAUUUUUUUUAGUUAAAUUUAUAAAAUAUGUGAAUUAAAAUAAUGAUAAGUGCUAUGAAUAAGAUAUUAAUUUAUGCAUUAUUUAGCGCUUAUCACACCCCCCAACCUGCAUUUUGCUAGUCCUCGAGCAAAAUAAAACUAACUCACUUUCGCAGGAAUCGCGAUUGCAUUUACCGUAUGCAAUAAGGCUUUAAACCCCUAGGUGGCCCUAGUGGACGAGUUUUGUCUCGUGAGGGUUUUCGGCUCAGAUACCCACAAACUGCUGUCGAAAGAAUUUAUUUUAUUAUUUUAUAAAAUCUAAUUUCAAAUGCAUAAGUGCCAA